CGGGGAGUAGCUCAGAUGGCUUAGAGUGCGCGAUUCGGGUUCGCGAGGUCGCAGGUUCGAGUCCUGUCUCCCCGACAA
rnacentral:tRNA from 2 species